AUGUUUACCUGGCAGAGCCAUACCAAGGUCAUAAAGGGUGGUUUUCCCAGGGUGAGACUAAUUCAGUGAACUGUAACAUUCGGAUCUCUGUCAUUCCCCAAAUGAGGAAAACUUUGUCUACAUCAUUUGUUGUAGUGGGGGGGUUGUGUUCAUGUCAUAUCCCAU
rnacentral:snRNA from 1 species